rnacentral:rRNA from 1 species
AUUCUGUAGCAAGGUUAACCGAAUAGGGGAGCCGAAGGGAAACCGAGUCUUAACUGGGCGUUAAGUUGCAGGGUAUAGACCCGAAACCCGGUGAUCUAGCCAUGGGCAGGUUGAAGGUUGGGUAACACUAACUGGAGGACCGAACCGACUAAUGUUGAAAAAUUAGCGGAUGACUUGUGGCUGGGGGUGAAAGGCCAAUCAAACCGGGAGAUAGCUGGUUCUCCCCGAAAGCUAUUUAGGUAGCGCCUCGUGAAUUCAUCUCCGGGGGUAGAGCACUGUUUCGGCAAGGGGGUCAUCCCGACUUACCAACCCGAUGCAAACUGCGAAUACCGGAGAAUGUUAUCACGGGAGACACACGGCGGGUGCUAACGUCCGUCGUGAAGAGGGAAACAACCCAGACCGCCAGCUAAGGUCCCAAAGUCAUGGUUAAGUGGGAAACGAUGUGGGAAGGCCCAGACAGCCAGGAUGUUGGCUUAGAAGCAGCCAUCAUUUAAAGAAAGCGUAAUAGCUCACUGGUCGAGUCGGCCUGCGCGGAAGAUGUAACGGGGCUAAACCAUGCACCGAAGCUGCGGCAGCGACGCUUAUGCGUUGUUGGGUAGGGGAGCGUUCUGUAAGCCUGCGAAGGUGUGCUGUGAGGCAUGCUGGAGGUAUCAGAAGUGCGAAUGCUGACAUAAGUAACGAUAAAGCGGGUGAAAAGCCCGCUCGCCGGAAGACCAAGGGUUCCUGUCCAACGUUAAUCGGGGCAGGGUGAGUCGACCCCUAAGGCGAGGCCGAAAGGCGUAGUCGAUGGGAAACAGGUUAAUAUUCCUGUACUUGGUGUUACUGCGAAGGGGGGACGGAGAAGGCUAUGUUGGCCGGGCGACGGUUGUCCCGGUUUAAGCGUGUAGGCUGGUUUUCCAGGCAAAUCCGGAAAAUCAAGGCUGAGGCGUGAUGACGAGGCACUACGGUGCUGAAGCAACAAAUGCCCUGCUUCCAGGAAAAGCCUCUAAGCAUCAGGUAACAUCAAAUCGUACCCCAAACCGACACAGGUGGUCAGGUAGAGAAUACCAAGGCGCUUGAGAGAACUCGGGUGAAGGAACUAGGCAAAAUGGUGCCGUAACUUCGGGAGAAGGCACGCUGAUAUGUAGGUGAAGUCCCUCGCGGAUGGAGCUGAAAUCAGUCGAAGAUACCAGCUGGCUGCAACUGUUUAUUAAAAACACAGCACUGUGCAAACACGAAAGUGGACGUAUACGGUGUGACGCCUGCCCGGUGCCGGAAGGUUAAUUGAUGGGGUUAGCGCAAGCGAAGCUCUUGAUCGAAGCCCCGGUAAACGGCGGCCGUAACUAUAACGGUCCUAAGGUAGCGAAAUUCCUUGUCGGGUAAGUUCCGACCUGCACGAAUGGCGUAAUGAUGGCCAGGCUGUCUCCACCCGAGACUCAGUGAAAUUGAACUCGCUGUGAAGAUGCAGUGUACCCGCGGCAAGACGGAAAGACCCCGUGAACCUUUACUAUAGCUUGACACUGAACAUUGAGCCUUGAUGUGUAGGAUAGGUGGGAGGCUUUGAAGUGUGGACGCCAGUCUGCAUGGAGCCGACCUUGAAAUACCACCCUUUAAUGUUUGAUGUUCUAACGUUGACCCGUGAUCCGGGUUGCGGACAGUGUCUGGUGGGUAGUUUGACUGGGGCGGUCUCCUCCUAAAGAGUAACGGAGGAGCACGAAGGUUGGCUAAUCCUGGUCGGACAUCAGGAGGUUAGUGCAAUGGCAUAAGCCAGCUUGACUGCGAGCGUGACGGCGCGAGCAGGUGCGAAAGCAGGUCAUAGUGAUCCGGUGGUUCUGAAUGGAAGGGCCAUCGCUCAACGGAUAAAAGGUACUCCGGGGA